CUACGGGUUGCACCAGUGAGGAAUAUUGCACAAUGGGGGGAACCCUGAUGCAGCAACGCCGCGUGGAGGAUGACGCAUUUCGGUGUGUAAACUCCUUUUAUAUGUCAAGAAAAUGACGGUAGCAUAUGAAUAAGCACCGGCUAACUCCGUGCCAGCAGCCGCGGUAAUAGGGAGGGUGCAAGCGUUACUCGGAAUCACUGGGCGUAAAGGACGCGUAGGCGGGUUGGAAAGUCAGGUGUGAAAUCCUACAGCUUAACUGUAGAACUGCACUUGAAACUACGAGCCUAGAGUAUGGGAGGGGGAGAUGGAAUUAGUGGUGUAGGGGUAAAAUCCGUAGAUAUCACUAGGAAUACCUAAAGCGAAGGCGAUCUCCUGGAACAUAACUGACGCUAAGGCGUGAAAGCGUGGGGAGCAAACAGGAUUAGAUACCCUCGUAGUC
rnacentral:rRNA from 1 species